rnacentral:piRNA from 1 species
CAAGACCUGCAGAGGGCAUCUUAAGAGAU